UACGUAGGGGGCGAGCGUUGUCCGGAUUUAUUGGGCGUAAAGAGCGUGUAGGCGGUUCGGUAAGUCUGUCGUGAAAUCCUGAGGCUCAACCUCGGGUGUGCGAUGGAUACUGCCGGGCUAGAGGAUGGUAGAGGCGAGUGGAAUUCCCGGUGUAGCGGUGAAAUGCGCAGAUAUCGGGAGGAACACCAGUAGCGAAGGCGGCUCGCUGGGCCAUUCCUGACGCUGAGACGCGAAAGCGUGGGGAGCAAACAGG
rnacentral:rRNA from 1 species